UACGGAGGGUGCAAGCGUUAAUCGGAAUUACUGGGCGUAAAGCGCGCGUAGGUUGUUAGUUAAGCGAGAUGUGAAAGCCCCGGGCUUAACCUGGGAAUUGCGUUUCGAACUGGCUGACUAGAGUACGGUAGAGGGUGGUGGAAUUUCAGGUGUAGCGGUGAAAUGCGUAGAGAUCUGAAGGAACAUCAGUGGCGAAGGCGACCACCUGGACUGAUACUGACACUGAGGUG
rnacentral:rRNA from 1 species